UAAGGUUUGGACCCCAUGGAAUCCCUGUGACCAUAUUUCCUAAAAGGGAAUACAAGGAUAAACCAGAAGCCAUGCAGCUCCAAAGUAAACCAUUCCAAGAUGAGGCACAGGUGAAGUGUGAAUCUAAUGCUGCAGUCCCUGAUGACUCUUCUCUCACGCAGCCAUCAGAACCUAGCAUAGCUAAAAGCCUAUGGACUUCUAAACCACCUCCUCUCUUUCAUGAGGGAGCGCCAUAUCCUCCUCCUUUGUUUAUCAGGGACACGUAUAACCAGUCAAUACCUCAGCCUCCACCCCGGAAAAUUAAGCGGCCCAAGCGUAAAAUGUACAGGGAGGAACCCACUUCCAUCAUGAAUGCUAUCAAACUACGACCCCGGCAGGUCUUAUGUGACAAGUGCAAAAACAGUGUUGUUGCAGAAAAAAAGGAAAUAAAAAAAGGUGGCAAUGCAAGUGACUCUUCAAAAUAUGAGGAUAAUAAAAAACGAAGAAAUGAGAGUGUGACUACUGUGAAUAAAAAACUUAAAACUGACCAUAAAGUGGAUGGAAAAAGCCAAAAUGAAAGUCAGAAAAGAAAUGCUGUGGUCAAGGUUUCAAAUAUUGCCCACAGCAGAAGCAGAGUAGUUAAAGUUUCCGCACAAGCAAAUACUUCAAAAGCGCAGUUAAAUACAAAAAAAGUUCUCCAGAGCAAAAACAUGGAUCAUGCGAAAGCUCGGGAAGUCUUGAAAAUGGCCAAAGAAAAGGCACAAAAGAAGCAGAGUGCAACCUCCUCUUCCAAAAAUGCACAUUCAAAGGUCCACUUCACACGGCGUCUUCAGAACACCAGCUCAGGUUCCCUUCCACCCCGAUUGCGUUUAAAGCCACAAAGGUAUCGGAAUGAAGAAAAUGACUCUUCUCUCAAGACAGGACUUGAGAAAAUACGGAGUGGCAAGAUGGCAACUAAGCCCCAGUCUCGCUGCUCCUCCACCCGCUCAGCAGGUGAGGCCCCUUCAGAAAAUCAGAGCCCCUCAGAAGGCCCUGAAGAGGCCAGCAGUGAGGUUCAGGACACGAGUGAAGUGCAUGUAACUGUUGAUCAGGAUGAACACCAGACAUUGGGCAAAAGAGGCAGCAAAAGCAAUAUAACGGUUUACAUGACCCUUAAUCAAAAGAAAUCUGACUCUUCCAGUGCAUCAGUUUGUAGUAGUGAUAGCACAGAUGAUUUGAAAUCUACCAACUCUGAGUGUAGCUCUACUGAAAGCUUUGAUUUUCCUCCAGGCAGCAUGCAUGCACCUUCCUCCUCCUCUUCUUCAAAGGAAGAGAAAAAGCUCAGUAAUUCCUUGAAAACGGAAGUCUUUUCCAAAAACGUCUCUAAAUGUGUCACACCAGAUGGCAGGACCGUAUGUGUAGGGGACAUUGUUUGGGCCAAGAUUUAUGGCUUCCCUUGGUGGCCAGCCCGUAUUCUUACCAUAACUGUGAGCCGAAAAGAUAAUGGCCUUUUAGUUCGACAGGAGGCUCGUAUCUCGUGGUUUGGCUCCACAACAACAUCUUUUCUUGCUCUUGCACAACUAUCCCCCUUUUUAGAAAGCUUCCAGUUGCGCUUUAAUAAGAAGAGAAAGGGUCUUUACCGCAAGGCCGUCACAGAGGCAGCUAAGGCUGCUAAGCAGCUGACUCCCGAAGUUCGGGCCCUGCUGACGCAGUUUGAAACGUGAACAUGGAAAGUAAGGUCUCAACAAAUGGCAGCAUUUUGCAUCAGACUGACGAGUCCUGUUGCUCCUUUACAGUGUCUGACAGACCACUGUGGAUUCAGGUUGGGGGCACUGAAGUUAUCAGUGAAAUUGGCAGGUCUAUCUGGUUUAAGCCCUGCCUUAAGUGAAGGGUGCACUAUGCUAUCAACUAAUCCUAUGCAAAGCAGGUUAGGACAGAGGUAAUGAGCCACCUGUUAUUUUAUUUCCCUCUUCUAUUUGAACACUUCAGAUACAGCUGUUCUCCCUGACCUAAUCAGGAUUGAUAUCUAUUUUAUUGAAAAGAUCCACACUGUUUCUCUGUAGGGCUUGUGUCCUGAAGUUUGCAUCAUGUGAUCAGAUUAGAUAACUUGACAGGUAUAAUGUAAAGGUUAAAAAGAAAAAAAAAAAAAAUUUUUGUCUCCUAAACCAACAGUCCUCAAACAGCAAGGUACAUCUAGGAUGUACCUUGUGGGGAGUUCAUCUGCUGCUUGUGACUGUAGGCACAGCUUCCUGCCUGGGCUGGCGUGUAAAAGUAAAAUCAGGAAAGACUUUAGUAACAUUUUAGUUUUUUACAGAAGUUUAGUACCUAAAACAAGAAAAAAAAUUGAAAACACAAGCAGGAACAUCUCAGUGAGAAACUUGCAGAUGACAUACGGACCAGAGUUGGGGAGCCACUCUUCUAGGAAAAUGAAGUUUGUUUUCUUUGUUCUUCUUUUUUUUCUUUUCCAAAGCCCUGCUCUGAGGCAGUAACACUUAACAGGCAUGCUUAACUUCCAGUGCAUGCCUAAGUUCGUAAGGAAAUUUAAGGUACAUGUUUAAAGCCAAGCGGAUACUGAACAUUACUGGGAAUUCUAGCCCAAAUAUGUGUUUACUACUUAGAUGUGUCAUGGAUGUAUGCAUUUCUUGUAUCUUUUUUUGACAUGGAGAGGAAAUAGGGCAGUGAGGAGAACAUAAGUUGCUGUAAAGGGAGCUUGAUUUACAUGAAGUAAUGAUUUUUUACUUUAUUAAUAUUAAAAAGUUUGAUCCGAUACUAUAUUAUUGCAUUAUGUCUGAGAUUAGAUAUUUGAUAUCCAUUGGUUUCACAUUUUAUAAACUUGAGAUUUGCUGCUGGUAAAACAGAAGACUGGACUAUAAUAGAAGAUAAGACUAGUAAUGUUUCUGGAGUGAUGGCGUGUAAAUGUCUGGGGGGGAAGCGAAGCUCCUGGUAUUUGCUCAAGCUGUUCUGGGAUCUCUCAACUGUAAGAAUCAGAGUGAAAGAGAGCUGUAGGUGCUGCCUUGGGCAGGAACACGAGUGCCAGGUUUGCAAUGAGCAGACUUUGCCAAGUAUUGAUUCUGAAAAUCACUGCAACUGCAUUGGUUGCUAAGUUGGUAGAUGGGGUGUGAAAAGUAAAACUCCCUGUCAUCAGAAUGAGGGAAAACGUGUGUUAGAGUGAACUGGCCAUUUCCAUAGACCUGGUAAUAGCGGUAUGCCUGCUAAGAUAAUGGAACCAAAUUUGUCUUGUUUAUUCCUUUGUAGAUUACAGAAGUUUGCUGGCUAGUAAUAGUGUCCCUGAGGCUUGAAUGUGGAAGUGCGUGUGUUGGGACAUACUGGCUGAAUGGUCAUCCAAUUUUUUAAUGGGAUUUUUGAUAUUUCUGAGUAGAGUCUGGUUCUCUGACAUACUAUAAAAGCUUCUCUUUGCAAGACUUCAUGGACACAUAAUAGUGAUUUAAUAUUAAUCUUAUUUUGGAUAAUUUCUUACUGGUCAUAUGCUUUAAUACCCAAUAUUGGUUGUUUUGCAGCCUGGAAUACUGUGGUUUUUAGUAACCUGCACCAACACUCAGAGACACUAGUCAACUGCUGUUUUUAUGGAACCUCACUACACUGCCACGAAGAGCACCAGCUCAUCAGGACUGAAAGAAAUCUGAGACUGAAUUGUCCUAUUUUUCCUCUGAUAUCUUCACCAAGUAGUAAACAUUUUUUGAAGGGGAAAGGGAGUAAAUAUGUUAAAGCGCCCCCUUGCACCCUGUUAGGGCACCUGUACCUAAUGUACAUUUUCUUUAAAAUUUAAAAAGAUGUUAGGAAAUAUUUUAUAAAACUUUUUUGCAAUAAUUGACGCAUGAAAUUAUUAAAGACUAUAUGACACUUACAUGCAAGGAACCACUUGAAUUAUUAGUAUGAAGAAUCACUGCAAAUAACUGGGUUUUUUUGUAAUGUGACAGUCACGUUUGUAUGUUUUGAUAGGUGCCAGUGAUGGAGCCAGUUGCCUGGGAAGUUGACUGUAACUUUUGAACUUUUAUUUUAAUUCUUAACUUUAGCAUUGCAAUUUUCCAUUCUAUGAGGCUUAGUUAGUAUUUAGUGCAGGUGUUAGCAGAGCUGUGAUCUGUGAUCAAAAGCAUGUCCAAAACCAAUUGUAUUGUAAAAUAUGAACAGUCCUGCUAUAUGAGACCAAUAUUUCCCAUAGAGGUGAUGGAAAGGACAGUGACCACAACUCCAUGUAUCUCUUAUGGGAAAGCUCCUUCUGUGUGAAUAUGGUUGCAUUUUAUUUAUGCUAUUGUAACACUUAGGGAAUUGAGGAUUGUGGAAUAACAUUAAGAAGGGCUACAACGCAGAGAGCAGCAUUUUGCUUAUAAUACUAUAACAAGAUGGGAAUCAUGAAUGGAGAGUGAUUAAAUGGAAUGGCAUUUCUAUUGCAAAUCAUGUGUUAAUUUUUCCUUUUGACAUAAAUAUUUUUCAGAUAGGUAAUUAGUAGAGCAAAGGUUUUAUUAGUGUUACUGAUGGUUGUUGAUCUGAGUUGCAUUGACUUAUUUGAAUAGCUGUAAAUCAAAAAAAAAAAAGAAACCCAGUGGGCUUUAUCCAUUUUAUUCCCCUCCCCCAAAGGUGUUUGGUAAGACUUAUUUCAGUAGAGCUUGUGAAUGCUGGACACGCUGCUGAAAUAUUGAGUUAUUAAUUAUUAAUUUAUUUGUCACUAAUUAUUUGACAUUGUGUGCACACUUUCUCAGCAGUAUCAUUUCUUACAAAGUGCUUAGCAGGGGAUUUAUUAUGUAACCUGGGAAAAUAAAUAUUUGUCUUGAAGAAAUGAAAAUGUGCACAUAAUCUACUAAGCAAAUUUUUGUUUCUAUAGAAGUGAAAAGACUUGUAGUAAACUCUUUUCCUCCUUACUAAUAUUCUGAUUUGAUUGGAGAAAAUAGAGUGUCUUUGUCUAGAUGAUUUAAAAACCGAGAUACCUUUCUGAGAGGCAUCUGUAUCAGCACAAAGGCAGUUUCACAGCCUUCGUGUAUGGAGCCUGAAUUAAUCACAUAGAAUUUGAAGCUAGGACAACUCUACUGUUCGGCUUUGAUAUUGGCACCAGGUUUAUACUUGUUAAACAAUCGGAGAGCGGGGAAGUGAGAGGCUGGGACAGGCAUCCAAACCCAGGAUAGGCCUAUCAGUGGUACACGCAUGCUGAGGCAGUUCAUGCUUCGUGCUGGCUCAGUUUCUAUCUUUCGGAGGUAAAUUCCUUAUUUACACUAGAAAUUGCAUACUUGCUGCCCAGUUCUUAACUAGCUGUAGAAUGCUGUACAGUAGGUUCAAAUUGUGCCAUUUUUUCAUAAUAAACUACAAAUACUUUUUAAAAUUUGAGACUAAUCUUUGUUAUACACUGCUUCUAAUUUUUUACCAGCUGAAGAGGAUCAGCAGUCUGGUCCUGUUUGUGACCUGAGAUUUGACUACAACUUAAUUUAAGACAUGCAAUUUGAGGAAAGGGGGAGCGAUUGAUGUCAUGUAUGUGCUAGCCUUUCACCUCCAGAAACCAAACCCCGAUUGUAUUGACAAUGAAUUGAGGGUCUUGGCCUAAUAAAUUACAUUUUUACCCACCCAGACAAAAAAAUCUAAACAAAAAAGCCACCAAACAACAUGGCACAAAACAGUUUCUGCUCAGGUAAAAGGCCCAGGACUGUAAUAGCAGGGUUAUUGCACAUUGGAUUGAAAACUGAUUGAUGUUGUAAGUAGAAGCCAGUAGUGCCUGCCUGUGUGACAUCUGACUCGUAACCGGUGCUCUUAUUUCCUCACCUUCGUGAGCACUUGUACACAGCAGCUGAAAUAUAGAAAAUACACUUAAGAGAGAUGCAGGUAUCUGCAUUGGAGAAUAUGGGUAUAUAAGCAAAUAGCAUAAAAAUAGACAAGGUAGCUAACUGUAUUUGCAUUUGUUUUCACAGAAAGUAUUGCAGCCAUUUUGUUUGAAAGCAGAUUUUCAUUUUGAAAUGAAAUUGUCAGGGAUAUUCUAAUGUUAGACAAUUACAGUAAUGUAUUGCUUUUCACUUUUUUGCUUUAGUUGCUUAAUAUUUAAGCUUUGCUCCGUGCUACCUUCUUGUCUGUAUAUUGAAUGGUCACUAUGCCUCUUUCAUUUUGUAGACUUGAAUGAGGAAAAUAUGAUUCACCCUUUAAGGUUUGCUGAGAAGUAAAUGAUAAAGAAUGUUGUGUAACAUUUAUUCAAAUAAAGCCUUGAUUUUUUUCAGUGCUCUUUUAAA